GGGGAAUGUUUGUAUGAAUAUUGAUGCCCCACGAAACUGGACAUCUCCGCGGUCAGCUGUGCUGCAGUGCAUCUGGCCCUAGGUGGCUGUCCAUGCAGAACCAGCUCCGGCAUGUCCCGGGGCAGCGGGGCCAGGAUGUGGCCGCUGGGCUGACUCCGGGAACCUUUCAGACAUGGUGAAUUCUUGUUUCUGGACCAAGUUGCCUUGCCAUUCCCACCGAGGACAAGUCAGGAUUUCCAAGUGGGACUGUAAAAGGGACAAGAGGCUUUUAUUUUGCACUUUGCAAAACAAUGGAUUGGGUGGUAAAUUAUUUCUUGUAAUAUCUUUCCUUUUUUGACAAGAAAAUUAGCUAUUUUGCUGUCUGUAAGAGCCUUACAAUUUCAUGCCUUAUUUUUCUUUAUUGAAUUGAAAUCUUUGAAAGAACUGUCUUUUCAAAUUUCUGUAAGAAUCUAUGCCUCGCUGUAUUACAUUUGUAUGUAUAAAGGACAGUUACUGCGUAAAACCCUC
rnacentral:lncRNA from 1 species